rnacentral:rRNA from 1 species
AGUGAACGCUGGCGGUAGGCCUAACACAUGCAAGUCGAACGGCAGCACAGUAAGAGCUUGCUCUUACGGUUGGCGAGGGGCGGACGGGUGAGGAUUACAUCGGAUUUUACUUUUUCGUGGGGGAUAACGUAGGGAAACUUACGCUAUUACCGCAUAGGACCUACGGGGGAAACCAGGGGAUCUUCGGACCUUCGCCGAUUGAUGGGGCCGAUGUCGGAUUAGCUAGUUGGCGGGGUAAAGGCCCACCAAGGCGACGAUCCGUAGCUGGUCUGAGAGGAUGAUCAGCCACACUGGAACUGAGACACGGUCCAGACUCCUACGGGAGGCAGCAGUGGGGAAUAUUGGACAAUGGGCGCAAGCCUGAUCCAGCCAUACCGCGUGGGUGAAGAAGGCCUUCGGGUUGUAAAGCCCUUUUGUUGGGAAAGAAAAGCAGCAGGUUAAUACCCCGCUGUUCUGACGGUACCCAAAGAAUAAGCACCGGCUAACUUCGUG